UACGUAGGGUGCAAGCGUUGUCCGGAAUUAUUGGGCGUAAAGAGCUUGUAGGCGGUUUGUCGCGUCUGCUGUGAAAUUUCGGGGCUCAACCCCGAACUUGCAGUGGGUACGGGCAGACUAGAGUGUGGUAGGGGAGACUGGAAUUCCUGGUGUAGCGGUGAAAUGCGCAGAUAUCAGGAGGAACACCGGUGGCGAAGGCGGGUCUCUGGGCCGAUGACUGACGCUGAGGAGCGAAAGCGUGGGGAGCAAACAGG
rnacentral:rRNA from 1 species